GGUGUGAACCCCACACUCCCCCCCUCUGGGGGCCGAGUGGAUCUGGUCUCCCCACUGCAAGGUGGGCUGGCCGAAAUUCAGAGGAUCACGCUUGGACCUGUAUGGCACCAGCAAGGUAGGUAGCUCCGUCUACUCCAGCUGAUGCUUUGGGUACUGGCACGGUCCCGCAGAAAACACCAUCUU
rnacentral:rRNA from 1 species